rnacentral:lncRNA from 1 species
GGGUCUAUGGGGUCUAUGGGGUCUAUGGGGAUCUAUGGGGUCUAUGGGAUCUAUGGGGUCUAUGGGGUCUAUGGGGAUCUAUGGGGUCAAUGGGGUCUAUGGGGUCUAUGGGGUCUAUGGGGUCAAUGGGGAUCUAUGGGGUCUAUGGGGUCAAUGGGGUCUAUGGGGUCUAUGGGGUCUAUGGGGUCUAUGGGGUCCUAUGGGGUCUAUGGGGUCUAUGGGGUCUAUGGGGAUCUAUGGGAAUCAAUGGGGUCUAUGGGGUCUAUGGGGUCUAUGGUUUCUAUGGGGUGAUCUAUGGGGUCUAUGGGGUGAUCUAUGGGGUCUAUGGGGUCAAUGGGGCCUAUGGGGGAUCUAUGGGGUGAUCUAUGGGGCCUAUGGGGUGAUCUAUGGGGUGAUCUAUGGGGUCUAUGGGGUCUAUGGGGUGAUGGGUGAUCUAUGGGGCCUAUGGGAUCUAUGGGGUGAUCUAUGGGGUCUAUGGGGUCUAUAGGGUCUAUGGGGUAUCUAUGGGGUGAUCUAUGGGGUCUAUGGGGUCUAUAGGGUCUAUGGGGUGAUGUAUGGGGCAGAGGGCUGAUCUAUGGGGCAGAGGGCUGAUCUAUGGGGCAGACCCUUGAGUUUCUCCCCAAACAUGGUGAGGAACACAGUGAAGUUGAUUGGACCAGGAGCUUCCUUGAUCAUGUCAUCCAGCUCCUCGUUCUUCACGUUCAGCCGCCCUAGAGAAUAUGUGGGGCAGGGGGAGGUUAUGGGGCCAGGUGUACCCUAUAUAUGGGUCAGCCUGCCCCAUAGACCAUAUAGACACCCAUAGAUCACCCCAUAGAUCCCAUAGAUCCCCCCAUAGACCACAUAACCCCAUAGACCCCAUUAACCCCAUAGACCCCAUAGACCCCAUAGACCACAUAGACACCAUUGACCCCAUAGACCCCAUAACCCCAUAACCCCAUAACCCCAUUGACCCCAUAGACCCAUAGACCCCAUUAACCCCAUAGACCCCAUAACCUGAUAGACCCCAUAACCCCAUAGACCCCAUAGACCCCAUAACCCCAUAGACCCCAUAGACCCCAUAGACCCCAUAACCCCAUAGACCCCAUAACCCCAUAGACCCCAUAGACCCCAU